UGAGGAAUAUUGGUCAAUGGUCGCUAGACUGAACCAGCCAAGUAGCGUGCGGGAUGAAGGCCCUCCGGGUCGUAAACCGCUUUUAGACGGGGAUAAAAGGGCGUACGUGUACGCCGUAUUGCAUGUACCGUCAGAAAAACGGACCGGCUAAUUCCGUGCCAGCAGCCGCGGUAAUACGGAAGGUCCGGGCGUUAUCCGGAUUUAUUGGGUUUAAAGGGAGCGUAGGCGGACUUUCAAGUCAGUGGUAAAUCGUGUGGCUCAACCAUACCUCGCCAUUGAAACUGGAAGUCUGGAGUGCACACAGGGGUGCCGGAAUUCAUGGUGUAGCGGUGAAAUGCUUAGAUAUCAUGAAGAACUCCGAUCGCGAAGGCAAGUGCCCGGGGUGCAACUGACGCUGAGGCUCGAAGGUGCGGGUAUCGAACAGGAUUAGAUACC
rnacentral:rRNA from 1 species